CAGUAGCCACGGUAAAACGUAGGUGGCAAGCGUUGUCCGGAAUUAUUGGGCGUAAAGGGCUCGCAGGCGGUUUCUUAAGUCUGAUGUGAAAGCCCCCGGCUCAACCGGGGAGGGUCAUUGGAAACUGGGAAACUUGAGUGCAGAAGAGGAGAGUGGAAUUCCACGUGUAGCGGUGAAAUGCGUAGAGAUGUGGAGGAACACCGGUGGCGAAAGCGGCUCUCUGGUCUGUCACUGACGCUGAGGCUCGAAAGCGUGGGUAGCGAACAGGAUUAGAUACCCCCGUAGUCCCUGUCUCUUAUAC
rnacentral:rRNA from 1 species